UCCGGUUUGUCACCGGCAGUCUCAUUAGAGUGCCCAACUAAAUGUAGCAACUAAUGAUAAGGGUUGCGCUCGUUGCGGGACUUAACCCAACAUCUCACGACACGAGCUGACGACAGCCAUGCAGCACCUGUGUCUAGGUUCCCUUUCGGGCACACUCACAUCUCUGCGAGCUUCCUAGCAUGUCAAGGGUAGGUAAGGUUUUUCGCGUUGCAUCGAAUUAAUCCACAUAAUCCACCGCUUGUGCGGGUCCCCGUCAAUUCCUUUGAGUUUUAACCUUGCGGCCGUACUCCCCAGGCGGUCAACUUCACGCGUUAGCUUCGUUACCAAGGGAGUUAAUCCCCCGACAACCAGUUGACAUAGUUUAGGGCGUGGACUAC
rnacentral:misc_RNA from 1 species